AUUUUAUGUUGAUUUGGUCUUAGAGCAGUAUGGUAAUAUUCGGAUUGUCAUUUUCAUGAUUUUGAGUUGGGUCACUAGGAAACUCGGGUCAAUUGUGAUGCCAUCGGUGCAAGUCUGUAAACUCACUUGGGUCAAUUGUGACGCCGUAGGUGAAAGUCCGUAAACCUAUUUGGGUCAAUUGCGACGCCGUAGGUGAAAGUCCGUAAACCCCCGCGGGGUAGGUUGCGUUGUCCUUUGGGUUAGUAGCCCGUAAAGUGCAUGUGCUAGAGACGUCUAGUACGGCGGUUGGUUGGUUGUAUCGGUUUCGAGAUGGAUUCGAAGGCUUAAAAAUCAUGGAUAUGUUCUAGUUCUCUUUUUUUUUUUUUUGAACUUAAUCGGAUACUUGUACAUAUUUGUUUGUAAGGAGGCAUGAGGCAUGUAAACUUUAACUUUAUUUUGGGAAUGUAAAAUUGUAGAUUGAGAGAA